CUGCGGCAGCGAACGUAUCACCCAAGACAACUUUACGGAGUUGACGAUUGACGGAGCGAAGCGACGUCAAAGCGUUCAUUAAAGUCGAGUUGGCUUAGGGAUACGUUCGUUGGGUAGGGGAGCGUUCUGUAAGCCUGUGAAGGUGUGUCGUGAGGCAUGCUGGAGGUAUCAGAAGUGCGAAUGCUGACAUAAGUAACGAUAAAGCGGGUGAAAAGCCCGCUCGCCGGAAGACCAAGGGUUCCUGUCCAACGUUAAUCGGGGCAGGGUGAGUCGACCCCUAAGGCGAGGCCGAAAGGCGUAGUCGAUGGGAAACGGGUUAAUAUUCCCGUACUUGGUGUUACUGCGAAGGGGGGACGGAGAAGGCUAUGUUGGCCGGGCGACGGUUGUCCCGGUUUAAGCGUGUAGGUGUGUGUUCCAGGUAAAUCCGGUUCACUUUAACACUGAGGCGUGACGACGAGGCACUACGGUGCUGAAGCAACAAAUGCCCUGCUUCCAGGAAAAGCCUCUAAGCAUCAGGUAACACGAAAUCGUACCCCAAACCGACACAGGUGGUCAGGUAGAGAAUACCAAGGCGCUUGAGAGAACUCGGGUGAAGGAACUAGGCAAAAUGGUGCCGUAACUUCGGGAGAAGGCACGCUGACACGUAGGUGAAGUGAUUUACUCAUGGAGCUGAAGUCAGUCGAAGAUACCAGCUGGCUGCAACUGUUUAUUAAAAACACAGCACUGUGCAAACACGAAAGUGGACGUAUACGGUGUGACGCCUGCCCGGUGCCGGAAGGUUAAUUGAUGGGGUCAGCGUAAGCGAAGCUCCUGAUCGAAGCCCCGGUAAACGGCGGCCGUAACUAUAACGGUCCUAAGGUAGCGAAAUUCCUUGUCGGGUAAGUUCCGACCUGCACGAAUGGCGUAAUGAUGGCCAGGCUGUCUCCACCCGAGACUCAGUGAAAUUGAACUCGCUGUGAAGAUGCAGUGUACCCGCGGCAAGACGGAAAGACCCCGUGAACCUUUACUAUAGCUUGACACUGAACAUUGAGCCUUGAUGUGUAGGAUAGGUGGGAGGCUUUGAAGUGUGGACGCCAGUCUGCAUGGAGCCGACCUUGAAAUACCACCCUUUAAUGUUUGAUGUUCUAACGUGGACCCGUAAUCCGGGUUGCGGACAGUGUCUGGUGGGUAGUUUGACUGGGGCGGUCUCCUCCUAAAGAGUAACGGAGGAGCACGAAGGUUGGCUAAUCCUGGUCGGACAUCAGGAGGUUAGUGCAAUGGCAUAAGCCAGCUUGACUGCGAGCGUGACGGCGCGAGCAGGUGCGAAAGCAGGUCAUAGUGAUCCGGUGGUUCUGAAUGGAAGGGCCAUCGCUCAACGGAUAAAAGGUACUCCGGGGAUAACAGGCUGAUACCGCCCAAGAGUUCAUAUCGACGGCGGUGUUUGGCACCUCGAUGUCGGCUCAUCACAUCCUGGGGCUGAAGUAGGUCCCAAGGGUAUGGCUGUUCGCCAUUUAAAGUGGUACGCGAGCUGGGUUUAGAACGUCGUGAGACAGUUCGGUCCCUAUCUGCCGUGGGCGCUGGAGAACUGAGGGGGGCUGCUCCUAGUACGAGAGGACCGGAGUGGACGCAUCACUGGUGUUCGGGUUGUCAUGCCAAUGGCACUGCCCGGUAGCUAAAUGCGGAAGAGAUAAGUGCUGAAAGCAUCUAAGCACGAAACUUGCCCCGAGAUGAGUUCUCCCUGA
rnacentral:rRNA from 1 species